UGUUCAGUGGUUGAGUGCUUAUACGUUAGGCUUGAGACCAAAGGGUCUCUGGUUUGAAUCCUGGCUAGGGCAA